UGCCCAGCAACUCCUAUCCUUACCUCCUCAUGGUACCGGCCGGAAACUAUGAGCAACCUUAGCGAAGAUCGGGUAACCAACCCCCGUGGAAAAUUUGGUCAUAGGCUGACAGGGAAGG
rfam:Aedes albopictus isolate Foshan contig125006, whole genome shotgun sequence.